rnacentral:rRNA from 1 species
UACCUGCAGCUCGAGUGGUAACCGCUAUUAUUGGGCCUAAAGCGUCCGUAGCCGGUUUGGUAAAUAUCUGGGUAAAUCGUGAGGCUUAACUUCACGAAUUUCGGAUAGACUGCCAGACUUGGGAUCGGGGGAGGUCAGAGGUACUCCAGGGGUAGCGGUGAAAUGUUGUAAUCCUUGGAGGACCACCGGUAGCGAAGGCGUCUGACUAGAACGAGUCCGACGGUGAGGGACGAAGCCCUGGGGCGCAAACCGGAUUAGAUACCCGGGUAGUCCAGGGUGUAAACGAUGUGGGCUUUGUAUUGGAGGUCCCACGUGGGCGUCCAGUGCAGAAGAGAAGUUGUUAAGCCACCGCCUGGGAAGUACGGUCGCAAGGCUGAAACUUAAAGGAAUUGGCGGGGGGCGACAGCAACGGGAGGAGCGUGCGGUUU